rnacentral:tRNA from 1 species
GGAGCUGUGGCGCAGUAGGUUAACGCCCUGGCCUGAAGUGCCGGCAUCCCACAUGGGCGCCGGUUCUAGUCCGGGUUGCUCCA